UACAGAGGGUGCAAGCGUUGUUCGGAAUUAUUGGGCGUAAAGCGCGUGUAGGCGGCUUUGCAAGUCGGGUGUGAAAGCCCUCAGCUCAACUGAGGAAGUGCGCCCCGAAACUGCAGAGCUUGAGUGCCGGAGAGGGUGGCGGAAUUCCCCAAGUAGAGGUGCAAAUUCGUAGAUAUGGGGAGGAACACCGGUGGCGAAGGCGGCCACCUGGACGGUAACUGACGCUGAGACGCGAAAGCGUGGGGAGCAAACAGG
rnacentral:rRNA from 1 species